GGGCAGGCAAAGCCAAGCGGUUACUUCGAAUUGAAUAAACUGAAACAGAAUCCUUAAGUUGCACCCGUAGGGCAACCCCUCCACGUACCGCUAGCGCCAUCCUGCCUUUUU
rnacentral:vault_RNA from 1 species